GGCAGCGUAGCUCAGUGGUAGAGCAGGGGACUCAUAAGCCUCAGGUCACUGGUUCGAAUCCAGUCGCUGUCACCA
rnacentral:tRNA from 2 species